GAUGAACGCUAGCGGCAGGCCUAAUACAUGCAAGUCGGACGGGAUUCGGUGCUUCGGUACCGAUGAGAGUGGCGCACGGGUGCGUAACGCGUGAGCAACCUGCCCAUUUCAGGGGGAUAGCCCGGAGAAAUCCGGAUUAAGACCGCAUAUGAUCACAUGCCUGCAUGGGCGAGUGAUAAAAUAUUUAUAGGAAAUGGAUGGGCUCGCGUGACAUUAGCUAGUUGGUAGGGUAACGGCCUACCGAGGCGACGAUGUCUAGGGGCUCUGAGAGGAGAAUCCCCCACACUGGUACUGAGACACGGACCAGACUCCUACGGGAGGCAGCAGUAAGGAAUAUUGGUCAAUGGAGGGAACUCUGAACCAGCCAUGCCGCGUGCAGGAAGACGGCCCUACGGGUUGUAAACUGCUUUUGCACGGGAAUAACCCUUUCUAUGUAUAGAGAGCUGAAUGUACCGUGAGAAUAAGGAUCGGCUAACUCCGUGCCAGCAGCCGCGGUAAUACGGAGGAUCCGAGCGUUAUCCGGAAUUAUUGGGUUUAAAGGGUGCGCAGGCGGGAUGCUAAGUCAGGGGUGAAAGACGGUGGCUCAACCAUCGCAGUGCCUUUGAUACUGGUGUCCUUGAAUGUACUUGAGGUAGGCGGAAUGUGGCAAGUAGCGGUGAAAUGCAUAGAUAUGCCACAGAACACCGAUUGCGUAGGCAGCUUACUAAGGUAUGAUUGACGCUGAGGCACGAAAGCGUGGGGAUCGAACAGGAUUAGAUACCCUGGUAGUCCACGCCCUAAACGAUGAACACUCGAUGUCGGCGAUAGACAGUCGGCGUCCAAGCGAAAGCGUUAAGUGUUCCACCUGGGGGAGUACGCCCGCAAGGGUGAAACUCAAAGGAAUUGACGGGGGCCCGCACAAGCGGAGGAGCAUGUGGUUUAAUUCGAUGAUACGCGAGGAACCUUACCCGGGCUUGAAAGUUACUGAAGAUAUCAGAGAUGGUAUCGUCCUUCGGGACAGGAAACUAGGUGCUGCAUGGCUGUCGUCAGCUCGUGCCGUGAGGUGUUGGGUUAAGUCCCGCAACGAGCGCAACCCCUGUGGAUAGUUGCCAGCACGUAAAGGUGGGGACUCUAUCCAGACUGCCUGUGCAAACAGAGAGGAAGGCGGGGACGACGUCAAGUCAUCAUGGCCCUUACGUCCGGGGCUACACACGUGCUACAAUGGGCGGUACAGAGGGCAGCCAACCUGCAAAGGUGCGCCAAUCCCUUAAAGCCGUUCACAGUUCGGAUCGGGGUCUGCAACUCGACCCCGUGAAGCUGGAUUCGCUAGUAAUCGCGUAUCAGCAAUGACGCGGUGAAUACGUUCCCGGGCCUUGUACACACCGCCCGUCAAGCCAUGAAAGUUGGGGGUACCUAAAGCAUGUAGCCGCAAGGAGCGUGUUAGGGUAAAACCGAUACAUUGGGGCUAAGUCGUA
rnacentral:rRNA from 1 species